rnacentral:rRNA from 1 species
GGAGGGUGCAAGCGUUGUUCGGAAUUAUUGGGCGUAAAGAGCGUGUAGGCGGUCCGGGGUAAGUCAGAUGUGAAAGCCCUGGGGCUCAACCCAGGAAGUGCAUUUGAAACUACCAGACUUGAGUACGGGAGAGGAGGGGGGAAUUCCCGGUGUAGAGGUGAGAUUCGUAGAUAUCGGGAGGAAUACCAGUGGCGAAGGCGCCCCUCUGGACCGAUACUGACGCUGAGACGCGAAAGCGUGGGGAGCAAACAGGAUUAGAUACCCUGGUAGUCCACGCCGUAAACGAUGAGCACUAGGUGUAGCGGGUAUUGACCCCUGCUGUGCCGUAGCUAACGCAUUAAGUGCUCCGCCUGGGGACUACGGUCGCAAAGACUAA